rnacentral:rRNA from 1 species
GACGAACGCUGGCGGUAUGCCUAAUACAUGCAAGUCGAGCGAACAGAUGAAGUGCUUGCACUUCUGACGUUAGCGGCGAACGGGUGAGUAACACGUAAGGAAUCUACCUAUAAGCGGGGGAUAACAUUCGGAAACGGGUGCUAAUACCGCAUAAUAUCUUCUUCCGCAUGGAAGAAGAUUGAAAGACGGCUCUGCUGUCACUUAUAGAUGACCUUGCGGUGCAUUAGUUAGUUGGUGGGGUAACGGCCUAUCAAGACGAUGAUGCAUAGCCGACCUGAGAGGGGGAUCGGCCACAUUGGGACUGAGACACGGCCCAAACUCCUACGGGAGGCAGCAGUAGGGAAUCUUCCGCAAUGGGCGAAAGCCUGACGGAGCAAUGCCGCGUGAGUGAAGAAGGCCUUCGGGUCGUAAAACUCUGUUAUAAGAGAAGAACAAAUUGUAGAGUAACUGCUACAGUCUUGACGGUAUCUUAUCAGAAAGCCACGGCUAACUACGUUCCAGCCGCCGCAGUAA